GACGAACGCUGGCGGCGUGCUUAACACAUGCAAGUCGAACGGAAAGGCCCUGCUUUUGUGGGGUGCUCGAGUGGCGAACGGGUGAGUAACACGUGAGUAACCUGCCCUUGACUUUGGGAUAACUUCAGGAAACUGGGGCUAAUACCGGAUAGGAGCUCCUGCUGCAUGGUGGGGGUUGGAAAGUUUCGGCGGUUGGGGAUGGACUCGCGGCUUAUCAGCUUGUUGGUGGGGUAGUGGCUUACCAAGGCUUUGACGGGUAGCCGGCCUGAGAGGGUGACCGGCCACAUUGGGACUGAGAUACGGCCCAGACUCCUACGGGAGGCAGCAGUGGGGAAUAUUGCACAAUGAGCGGAAGCCUGAUGCAGAAACGCCGCGUGCGGGAUGACGGCCUUCGGGUUGUAAACCGCUUUCGCCUGUGACGAAGCGUGAGUGACGGUAAUGGGUAAAGAAGCACCGGCUAACUACGUG
rnacentral:rRNA from 1 species